GGUGGACCCCAUGGAGCUGGAGACGGACGCUCAGUCCCAGAGCAGCGCCACCUGGCUGGUGGACCCCAAGGACUCCAAACGCACCAUCAGCACCAACUGACUGCUGUGUUGAAGUGCCCGGACUGUGGCUGUGAGUCGGGGACUGAGGGCUGGUACCCUGUGUUGGGAGAGCUGUAUACUGUUCCCACAGUAUAUGGUUUUUCAUUGGGGUGGGGGAGGUGCGUGCUUAAUGCUUGUGGGGAUCGGUACUGUAAUGUCCCCACACACACACACACAUCCCAAAACACUGCCCACUCCACUCCCCCCCAGAGCUGUGCCACCCAUCCUUACACUGUGGAGAAACCGUCCUGGGAACAUCUGAGCUGUACCUCCUUUUCUCUCCUGUUACCCUAAAACACAACCUUCCUCCCCAUCUACAUGCAAGGGUGUUGCUCAACCAUCCCUUCUUCAACCUCCUGCCACACACACACACACACACUCACACUCUCUCACACACACACACCCGUAGGAGGUCAGAGCAUGUUGUUCACAGGAAGACUGGAAUCUUUUGCGGACCUCUUGAUUAUGGUACUGCUGUUCUAGUGGGAAUGAAUCUCCUUUCUCUGAUCAUGAAGCCCCACCCUGGCCUCCAGUGGGUUCACUUUAGUGGGCCUCUCCUGACAUACACUGGAUAACUGUCCAUGUCCUAGAUUAUGUACAUGAUUCUCUCAGGUUCUGAAUUAAGAGCUCAGGUGAGGUCAAGGGUCAUGUAAUGUCACUGUUGGGGAUGACUGUGCCAGGAGUUUUUGUCUGUGAAGUUCUGCAUACGAUUUUCUUUUUUCUUUUUUUUCUUUUUUCUUUUAAUUAUUAAAAGUUAUUUGUGGAAAAUCAGCAUGUACCAUACGGUGUGCAAAACGUACAACUAAGAAUUUUCCCAGUGUGGAAUCUUUAUUUUUUCCAUGCAUAGUUGACCUAAUCAUCAAGUAAAGGGGGGUGGGGGGGAAUUUAAAUGUAGCAGUGCAUUCAAAAUCACGAUUCAUCUGUAGCUGAAUCAAUGGGGAGAUCUGUGAUGUCGCAAUCUUCUCAUGAUAAAAGGUACUGUUAACCAAACCCUGAAAUUGUCACAAUCAGAAACUACUACCAGGCACAGCCACCACUCCUACAAGACUUUUGAGCCUGAUAAGCUUGAGAAAUCCCUUUUUUGUGCUAUUUAGUCUGACUACACAUUGGUUUUGGUGGAAAUUCUUACUGUUAUGGAGGUUGAAUUGAGGUUGUUUUACACUACAAAGAAUGGGGAUUUUGUUUAAUUUCUUAAAAGAGUAAAGAAAAGUGAGAGGUGUGUUGCUUUUAUUUAACUUAAAUAAAACUUAAAAGCCGUUUUCUUUCAUUUUGUAACUGUACUGAUGCUUAAACUGUUUCAGGCUGAUGCAAGGUUUGCUGAUAAUAACCCCAGUCAUCGAUUCAUCCAAAAGAAUCAUGAAAACGCAUAUUCAAAGAGGAACUUGUCUUGUUAUGCUCACAAUUUGAUACCAAAAAAUACAGUCGGAUCCCAAGAACUAUGGCGAUUUUCUGCCAUGUCGUUUGUAAAUUGUGUGUGUUAUUCAGAGGUACUCCAUGGUACUGGGGCUUGUGAAAAUGGAAACCAGUCUCCUUCAUCAGCCUCGCUCAUUUCUGGCAUUUGCACAUUUGCUAAUUGUGAUGGGUAGUACCUUGGGACUAAUCUGUAAUAUUGAUAAUGGUUAUAAUGAGAUGAAUGAUAUUGGUUUGUAAAGUAAUCCCUCGCAAUCUGUAUUUUGAUACUUGAAUGAUUCUGCUUUUAUAAAUAUAUAUAUAUGUAUAUGGAUUUAUGUAAGUAAUGUUUCAUUUUUUUCAUUGUCCACGUUUGUGGGAAAAUGAGAUCUGGCGAGUGUUUGAAAAGCUUCACAGAUCAAUGGUACUCAUCCCUGACCUGUCUUGGGGGUGAAAA